rnacentral:misc_RNA from 1 species
AAGGGUUAAAAUUAUGCUAUGGAGCAGAAGGGGAAGUAUCCGUUCUUCUCUUGGGGUAUCUCCUGGGAAUAUAGUUUCAAGUGCUCUGCUGGAAUAUAUUUUUUCACAUCCUUGGUUUAUCCUGGAUUUAUGUAAUCACUCAGACCAUCGCAUACUAUAUAUUGGAUAGUUUAGACAGCCAAAGUAUCCAUAGAACACAAAGUGAAUUAGAUGUAAACGAAUCGAAAACAAUUACGUCCAGUCUCGAAGGUGUUCGAAAUCGAAUGACAAGGAGAGGAAGGAGAAGGGCGAGACGCAAUAGAAGUGCGAUUAUAGAAAGACGAUAUCGAUCGAAAACAAGAAGAAGGCUGAGAAAUUCCAACAGAAAUAUCUCCAACAGUGCAAGCAGAAGCAGAAGUAAAAGCAGUAUCCAAUCGUAAUUUAAUGAAAUAAAUAGACUGUUUCUUAGAACGUACGAAAUAUGAACUGAAAUUAAAAAAAAUUAUCUUAAA